GACGAACGCUGGCGGCGUGCUUAACACAUGCAAGUCGAACGGAAAGGCCCUGCUUUUGUGUGGUUCUCGAGUGGCGAACGGGUGAGUAGCACGGGAGUAACCUGGCCUGGACUUGGGGAUAACUUCAGGAGACUGGUGCUAAUACCGGAUAGGAGCGCCUGCUGCAUGGUGGGGGUUGGAAAGUAUCGGCGGUGGGGGAUGGACUCGCGGCUUAUCAGCUUGUUGGUGGGGUAGUGGCUUACCAAGGCUUUGACGGGUAGCCGGCCUGAGAGGGUGACCGGGCACAUUGGGCCUGCGAUACGGCCCAGACUCCUACGGGAGGCAGCAGUGGGGAAUAUUGCACAAUGGGCGGAAGCCUGAUGCAGCAACGUCGCGUGCGGGAUGACGGCCUUCGGGUUGUAAACCGCUUUCGCCUGUGACGAAGCGUGAGUGACGGUAAUGGGUAAAGAAGCACCGGCUAACUACGUG
rnacentral:rRNA from 1 species